rnacentral:rRNA from 1 species
AGCGAACGCUGGCGGCAGGCUUAACACAUGCAAGUCGAGCGGGCAUCUUCGGAUGUCAGCGGCAGACGGGUGAGUAACACGUGGGAACGUACCCUUCGGUUCGGAACAACUCUGGGAAACUGGAGCUAAUACCGGAUACGCCCUUAUGGGGAAAGGUUUACUGCCGAAGGAUCGGCCCGCGUCUGAUUAGCUAGUUGGUGGGGUAACGGCCUACCAAGGCGACGAUCAGUAGCUGGUCUGAGAGGAUGAUCAGCCACACUGGGACUGAGACACGGCCCAGACUCCUACGGGAGGCAGCAGUGGGGAAUAUUGGACAAUGGGCGCAAGCCUGAUCCAGCCAUGCCGCGUGAGUGAUGAAGGCCUUAGGGUUGUAAAGCUCUUUUGUCCGGGACGAUAAUGACGGUACCGGAAGAAUAAGCCCCGGCUAACUUCGUGC